rnacentral:tRNA from 1 species
AGAAUAUAAAAAGAAAGCCGCUAACUAUCUAAAAGUGAAAAAAAAAAUCACUAUAUUCUU